AUACGUAGGUGACAAGCGUUAUCCGGAUUUACUGGGCGUAAAGGGCGUGUAGGCGGUCUUGCCAGUCUGAAGUGAAAUUCCUGAGCUCAACUCGGGCGCUGCUUCUGAAACUGCAGGACUUGAGUGCUGGAGGGGAUAGCGGAAUUCCUAGUGGAGCGGUAAAAUGCGCAGAUAUUAGGAAGAACACCGGUGGCGAAGGCGGCUAUCUGGACAGUAACUGACGCUGAGGCGCGAAAGCGUGGGGAGCAAACAGGAUUAGAUACCCUGGUAGUCCACGCGGUAAACGAUGAAUGCUAGGUGUUGCGGGUAUCGACCCCUGCAGUGCCGGAGUAAACACAAUAAGCAUUCCGCCUGGGGAGUACGGCCGCAAGGUUGAAACUCAAAUGAAUUGGCGGGG
rnacentral:rRNA from 1 species